UCCAUCCUCUCCCUCAAAGCUACGCAGCCCGUCGAAAGGUUGUUGUGCCAUCUGUGGAUCGAGCGUUUCAUGUUGGAAAAAGUGGACACAUUCGACCGUAAGAAGAUACCAUAGUCGCUGCAGCAAAAACAGUGCGCCUCCCGAGCUCUUUACAUUUGCUGCUUCUUUCACUGGCACUUUUUCCCUCUUUGCCUACACAAAACCUUUUGAGAACAUCUUAGUCAGCCUUCCAAAAACAUAAGGUGGGGAGUUCGGGAAAUACUUCAACUUACCUGCUCUGAAGGAUUCAAGGAUGGUAUCUACUUAUAUUUCAUCUUGUGGUGCCGGCAGCGAAGAAGUUCAAAUUUUGUGGCAUUGUCCCCGUGUUUGAGGAGAAGCUGAACCGUAUGAUUGAGGGUGUUGUUACAACAGGCAAAUAUGCAUGCUCUCCAAGUGAGACAAGGUUUUGUGGUACCCUUGAGAAUGUGGCCGUCAAUCUAGCAUGUGAUUGACACGAUCUCGACACCAUUUCCUGGGGUUACCAUUUUGAGCCAACAGGGACUAUUCCAGCCACUUUUACUGUCAGAUCUGCGGUGCUCAGGGAAGCAAUUGAUGAUCUGGAAUGGCCUGGUUCCAGCGUCCAGAUGCGCAUAAGACCUGAUCCUCCCUCGGCAACUUUCAAAGCUUAGGGCCAUGGCUUUAAACCCAAGUCCACACCACUUGGGUUUAAAGCCUGUUGCUUGUGAAUUUUUCAACAAAAUAUUUUA